rnacentral:rRNA from 1 species
GCCUUAGUAACGGCGAGUGAAGCGGCAAAAGCUCAAAUUUGAAAUCUGGUACCUUCGGUGCCCGAGUUGUAAUUUGGAGAGGGCAACUUUGGGGCCGUUCCUUGUCUAUGUUCCUUGGAACAGGACGUCAUAGAGGGUGAGAAUCCCGUGUGGCGAGGAGUGCGGUUCUUUGUAAAGUGCCUUCGAAGAGUCGAGUUGUUUGGGAAUGCAGCUCUAAGUGGGUGGUAAAUUCCAUCUAAAGCUAAAUAUUGGCGAGAGACCGAUAGCGAACAAGUACAGUGAUGGAAAGAUGAAAAGAACUUUGAAAAGAGAGUGAAAAAGUACGUGAAAUUGUUGAAAGGGAAGGGCAUUUGAUCAGACAUGGUGUUUUGUGCCCUCUGCUCCUUGUGGGUAGGGGAAUCUCGCAUUUCACUGGGCCAGCAUCAGUUUUGGUGGCAGGAUAAAUCCAUAGGAAUGUAGCUUGCCUCGGUAAGUAUUAUAGCCUGUGGGAAUACUGCCAGCUGGGACUGAGGACUGCGACGUAAGUCAAGGAUGCUGGCAUAAUGGUUAUAUGCCGCCCGUCUUGAAACACGGACCA